AUGAGUAGUGGGGCGCAACUACGAGCGGAAAGGCGAGAUGCUACCAACGACUAUCCGAAAUGCUGGAAUCGGCAGUGUGGAAAUCUGCAACCGGUGGCAGCAUAUGCUACAAGCAGCGAUAUGGGCAUGGUGGAAUCAGCGAGUGCUGGAACCGAUGAGGAAGGAUGCUUCUACGGCGAGCCAGGGAGCCGCGACCGGUGA
rnacentral:rRNA from 1 species